rnacentral:tRNA from 1 species
UGCGGGGUCGUAUAAUGGCAAUACACGCGGCUCUGGACCGCGUUAUCGGGGUUCGAAUCCCUGCCCCGCAGCCA